UGGGGAAUUUUGGACAAUGGGGGCAACCCUGAUCCAGCAAUGCCGCGUGAGUGAAGAAGGCCUUCGGGUUGUAAAGCUCUUUUGUCAGGGAAGAAAAGGGUCUGGCUAAUAUCCAGAUCUGCUGACGGUACCUGAAGAAUAAGCACCGGCUAACUACGUGCCAGCAGCCACGGUAAUACGUAGGGUGCAAGCGUUAAUCGGAAUUACUGGGCGUAAAGCGUGCGCAGGCGGUUUCGUAAGUCUGUCGUGAAAUCCCCGGGCUUAACCUGGGAAUGGCGAUGGAGACUGCGAGGCUAGAGUUUGGCAGAGGGGGGUAGAAUUCCACGUGUAGCAGUGAAAUGCGUAGAGAUGUGGAGGAACACCGAUGGCGAAGGCAGCCCCCUGGGUCAAAACUGACGCUCAUGCACGAAAGCGUGGGGAGCAAAC
rnacentral:rRNA from 1 species